UUGUGGCUAUCAUCACGUUGAAACACAGGUACCCGUACGAUCACCGAAAUUAAGCAACAUUGAAGCUGGCCAGUAAUUAGAGGGGUAACCGCUUGGGAAUAUCACGUGUUGUAAG